rnacentral:rRNA from 1 species
UACGAAGGAUGCAAGCGUUACUCGGAAUCACUGGGCGUAAAGCGUGCGUAGGCGGUUCGUUAAGUCUGCUGUGAAAGCCCUGGGCUCAACCUGGGAACUGCAGUGGAUACUGGCGGACUAGAGUGUGAUAGAGGAUGGUGGAAUUCCCGGUGUAGCGGUGAAAUGCGUAGAUAUCAGGAGGAACACCGGUGGCGAAGGCGGGUCUCUGGGGCCGAUACUGACGCUGAGGAGCGAAAGCGUGGGGAGCGAACAGG